GUGUAACUUGCAUGUGCUUUCUCAACUUUUCUGGUUCUUUAGAUGAAAACAAAAAAUAUUUGUCGAGGCUGUCAACACCAGAGAAUCUUCUAUGCCAUGACCAUAUCUGCGCCUCCUCUCCAGAGAUGUCACCCUGCCUCGGUGUGAGGCGGCCGAUGCGCUGAGAUAAUGAUAAUAAUAAUAAUGAAGUGCGCAAGAUUCAAACAGACUGUUGAGUAUGGUCUGGAGAGCCUCGGAGUCGAGAAGAGAUAAGAGGACAGGUUCAGGCAUGACCUACUUCCACUAGUUGGUUCCAUCCAUCACUGACGUGACUGCUGCACCUCGUCUGACUCCAGUAUAUGAGAGUCCAUCUUCCCGCCUAUGCUUCAGAUCUAUAAUCACCGGUUUCCAGGCUGCGGGACUGAUCACCUCAUUUUCCACUGUCUUCUGUGUAUAGUUCUGAAUGAUCACUUCAUCUUCCACUGUCUCCAGUUUCAACACCUCCAAUUACCUCUGUAUUGAAUUGAUAAAACAUGAUAACGUCACUGGUGGUUGGAAAGUCUUCAUACAAAAGGUGUCCAGAUGGUGCAUGUGUGUCAAAUCUCUUAGCUUGAAAAAUAUACUAUUGCUGCUUAUGCUACUACUAUUUCUAUUCCCUUCUUUCCCCCACCCCUUAUCGUAUGCUAUUUAAGUCUUUUAUGCUUUCCUCGCCUCAGUUAUGAUUUGCCAAUGAUUCCGGACGGACCGAAAUUUCGUCAAAGUUCUCCCAGGUGUGGGUUUUAUCAGCGCUCGCAGAAUGAGCUGCUUAUUCGCAAACUAGCCGCUGCUGGAAGCAAUAAAGCAUUUCUCAACA